UUACUACUCCCUCCGUUUCGUAUUAAUUGACGCUCAAACGGAUGUAUCUAGACGUAUUUCAGUGCUAGAUACAUCCGUUUGAGCGUCAAUUAAAAUGGGACGGAGGGAGUAAUAG
rnacentral:pre_miRNA from 1 species